GAUGAACGCUGGCGGCGUGCCUAAUACAUGCAAGUCGAGCGAACGGACGAGAAGCUUGCUUCUCUGAUGUUAGCGGCGGACGGGUGAGUAACACGUGGAUAACCUACCUAUAAGACUGGGAUAACUUCGGGAAACCGGAGCUAAUACCGGAUAAUAUUUUGAACCGCAUGGUUCAAAAGUGAAAGACGGUCUUGCUGUCACUUAUAGAUGGAUCCGCGCUGCAUUAGCUAGUUGGUAAGGUAACGGCUUACCAAGGCAACGAUGCAUAGCCGACCUGAGAGGGUGAUCGGCCACACUGGAACUGAGACACGGUCCAGACUCCUACGGGAGGCAGCAGUAGGGAAUCUUCCGCAAUGGGCGAAAGCCUGACGGAGCAACGCCGCGUGAGUGAUGAAGGUCUUCGGAUCGUAAAACUCUGUUAUUAGGGAAGAACAUAUGUGUAAGUAACUGUGCACAUCUUGACGGUACCUAAUCAGAAAGCCACGGCUAACUACGUGCCAGCAGCCGCGGUAAUACGUAGGUAGCAAGCGUUAUCCGGAAUUAUUGGGCGUAAAGCGCGCGUAGGCGGUUUUUUAAGUCUGAUGUGAAAGCCCACGGCUCAACCGUGGAGGGUCAUUGGAAACUGGAAAACUUGAGUGCAGAAGAGGAAAGUGGAAUUCCAUGUGUAGCGGUGAAAUGCGCAGAGAUAUGGAGGAACACCAGUGGCGAAGGCGACUUUCUGGUCUGUAACUGACGCUGAUGUGCGAAAGCGUGGGGAUCAAACAGGAUUAGAUACCCUGGUAGUCCACGCCGUAAACGAUGAGUGCUAAGUGUUAGGGGGUUUCCGCCCCUUAGUGCUGCAGCUAACGCAUUAAGCACUCCGCCUGGGGAGUACGACCGCAAGGUUGAAACUCAAAGGAAUUGACGGGGACCCGCACAAGCGGUGGAGCAUGUGGUUUAAUUCGAAGCAACGCGAAGAACCUUACCAAAUCUUGACAUCCUUUGACAACUCUAGAGAUAGAGCUUUCCCCUUCGGGGGACAAAGUGACAGGUGGUGCAUGGUUGUCGUCAGCUCGUGUCGUGAGAUGUUGGGUUAAGUCCCGCAACGAGCGCAACCCUUAAGCUUAGUUGCCAUCAUUAAGUUGGGCACUCUAAGUUGACUGCCGGUGACAAACCGGAGGAAGGUGGGGAUGACGUCAAAUCACCAUGCCCCUUAUGAUUUGGGCUACACACGUGCUACAAUGGACAAUACAAAGGGCAGCGAAACCGUGAGGUCAAGCAAAUCCCAUAAAGUUGUUCUCAGUUCGGAUUGUAGUCUGCAACUCGACUACAUGAAGCUGGAAUCGCUAGUAAUCGUAGAUCAGCAUGCUACGGUGAAUACGUUCCCGGGUCU
rnacentral:rRNA from 1 species